rnacentral:rRNA from 1 species
CUGCAGCCCGAGUGGUGAUCGAUUUUAUUGAGCCUAAAGCGUCCGUAGCCGGACUAGUAAACUCUUGGGUAAAUUGGGCAGCCUAACUGUCCAAAUUCCGAGAGGACUGCUAGUCUUGGGACCGGGAGAGGUCAGAGGUACUCCAGGGGUAGGGGCUAAAUCCUGUAAUCCUUUGGGGACCACCAGUGGCGAAGGCGUCUGACUAGAACGGAUCCGACGGUAAGGGACGAAACCCUGGGGCGCGAACCGGAUUAGAUACCCGAGUAGUCC